rnacentral:rRNA from 1 species
CAGUCGCCGCGGGAAUACGUAGGGUGCAAGCGUUAAUCGGAAUUACUGGGCGUAAAGCGUGCGCAGGCGGUUAUAUAAGACAGAUGUGAAAUCCCAGGGCUCAACCUGGGAACUGCAUUUGUGACUGUAUAGCUAGAGUACGGCAGAGGGGGAUGGAAUUCCGCGUGUAGCAGUGAAAUGCGUAGAUAUGCGGAGGAACACCGAUGGCGAAGGCAAUCCCCUGGGCCUGUACUGACGCUCAUGCACGAAAGCGUGGGGAGCAAACAGGAUUAGAUACCCCUGUAGUCCCUGUCUCUUAUAC